rnacentral:rRNA from 1 species
UACGGAGGGAGCUAGCGUUGUUCGGAAUUACUGGGCGUAAAGCGCACGUAGGCGGCUUUGUCAGUUAGAGGUGAAAGCCCGGAGCUCAACUCCGGAACUGCCUUUAAGACUGCAUCGCUUGAAUCCAGGAGAGGUGAGUGGAAUUCCGAGUGUAGAGGUGAAAUUCGUAGAUAUUCGGAAGAACACCAGUGGCGAAGGCGGCUCACUGGACUGGUAUUGACGCUGAGGUGCGAAAGCGUGGGGAGCAAACAGG